UACGAAGGGGGCUAGCGUUGUUCGGAAUCACUGGGCGUAAAGCGCACGUAGGCGGAUGUGUCAGUCAGGGGUGAAAUCCCGGAGCUCAACUCCGGAACUGCCUCUGAUACAGCACGUCUUGAGUUCGAGAGAGGUGGGUGGAAUUCCUAGUGUAGAGGUGAAAUUCGUAGAUAUUAGGAAGAACACCGGUGGCGAAGGCGGCCCACUGGCUCGAUACUGACGCUGAGGUGCGAAAGCGUGGGGAGCAAACAG
rnacentral:rRNA from 1 species